UUUAAUUGAAGAGUUUGAUCAUGGCUCAGAUUGAACGCUGGCGGCAGGCCUAACACAUGCAAGUCGAGCGGCAGCACAGAGAAACUUGUUUCUCGGGUGGCGAGCGGCGGACGGGUGAGUAAUGCCUGGGAAAUUGCCCUGAUGUGGGGGAUAACCAUUGGAAACGAUGGCUAAUACCGCAUGAUAGCUUCGGCUCAAAGAGGGGGACCUUCGGGCCUCUCGCGUCAGGAUAUGCCCAGGUGGGAUUAGCUAGUUGGUGAGGUAAGGGCUCACCAAGGC
rnacentral:rRNA from 1 species